UGGAUUUAUUGAACCUAAUGACUCCUUUUUCUUUCUUGCUUGCUUUAUCACUGUAGGAAAGAGUAACCCCAAAGAAUGAAACAUUACACAUAUAACAAGUUGUAGGGAGCAUGAACCUAUUUUGUUUUAUUAGCGUGGGUGGUAAUAGCAUUGAACUCCUUUACACACCUGUACAGACACCCCUAAGAUAUUGUGGGUUCAGUUGCAGACCACUGCAAUAAGGGGAAUAUCGCAGUAAAACGAGUCACACAAAUUUUGUAGUUUCCCAGUGCAUACAAACGUUAUGUUUAUGUGGAAUCCCAAUGCCGGGCAGCCAGGGCCAAAUCCAUAUCCCCCCAAUAUUGGGUGCCCUGGAGGUUCCAAUCCUGCCCACCCACCGCCUAUUAACCCACCCUUUCCUCCAGGCCCCUGUCCUCCUCCCCCAGGAGCUCCCCAUGGCAAUCCAGCUUUCCCCCCAGGUGGGCCCCCUCAUCCUGUGCCACAGCCAGGGUAUCCAGGAUGCCAACCCUCGGGUCCCUACCCUCCUCCAUACCCACCGCCUGCCCCUGGAAUCCCUCCUAUGAAUCCCUUGGCUCCUGGCAUGGUCGGACCAGCAGUGAUAGUGGACAAGAAGAUGCAGAAGAAAAUGAAGAAAGCUCAUGAAAAGAUGCACAAGCACCACAAUCAUGGCAAGCAUUCCUCCUCCUCUUCCAGCAGUGAUUCUGACUGAAUACAGGCCCUGGACCCUUCCCUCAAGCCUCACCAGUUCUGCUCUCCCAUCAAGCUUCAGAUGCCAUGUUGUACUGGGGGAAUGUAGCCCUUGUGGUCCCCCCCCACCCCCCCUCAACCUGAGCCUCACCCUGCUGUUGAGCCCUGAGUGGCUAGGGGAAAUGGGAAGAGGAUUGCCAUGGCCUGGCCAUCUUGUUGCUGCUUGGAUAGAUCAUAUAGCUAAUGAAUUAGGCAGGGGAGCUAUUUUUUGAAGAUGAUGAACUAAAUGUUGAAGACAAGUUUGAGAUCUGUAAAAUGUGAUUUUUUACUUCUGCUUAUAAUACUUGUGAUUGGGGAGGUUUGUGGAAAUUUAAUUAUGAUGAAAAGCCUCUAUCUUUUUUGUAAUGUUGGCAUACUUGGGGAAUUUAAUGGCAAAUACAUUCCCCAGCAGGCCUAUUGUUGGUUGCACUAACUGCAAGGUUGCUGGGAAGUAGAGUCCAUUUGGUUGAUGAGCUUUGACUGCCGUUUUGGAACCUUACCUCUCCUCCCUAGCCCAAUAUGCUGUCUCGGGUCCUAUUCAAAUAAAGUUAUUCCUCCUGGAAAAAAAAAAAAAAAA